AUUGAACGCUGGCGGCAGGCCUAACACAUGCAAGUCGAGCGGAUGAAGGGAGCUUGCUCCCGGAUUCAGCGGCGGACGGGUGAGUAAUGCCUAGGAAUCUGCCUGGUAGUGGGGGAUAACGUCCGGAAACGGGCGCUAAUACCGCAUACGUCCUGAGGGAGAAAGUGGGGGAUCUUCGGACCUCACGCUAUCAGAUGAGCCUAGGUCGGAUUAGCUAGUUGGUGGGGUAAAGGCCUACCAAGGCGACGAUCCGUAACUGGUCUGAGAGGAUGAUCAGUCACCCUGGAAGUGAGACACGGCCCAGACUCCUACGGGAGGCAGCAGUGGGGAAUAUUGGACGAUGGGCGAAAGCCUGAUCCAGCCAUGCCGCGUGUGUGAAGAAGGUCUUCGGAUUGUAAAGCACUUUAAGUUGGGAGGAAGGGCAGUAAGUUAAUACCUUGCUGUUUUGACGUUACCAACAGAAUAAGCACCGGCUAACUUCGUG
rnacentral:rRNA from 1 species